rnacentral:lncRNA from 1 species
UGGUGUUCUCGUUCGUGGGUGCUGGCAUGCAAAAGGCAAGAAAAAGGAAAUUAGAAACAGAACCGCCAUCCAUCCUUCUUCUCAUGUGCACUCUGCGGUAGUUGGUGACAACAGCUAAUACCUUUUUCUUCAGCACACCAGUACUCUUUACAAAAAGACAUUACAUCUUCCAUUAUUUUAGGCAAGCCACAAACAGAAGACCGGCCAGCAUUCAUUGCAAAUCAUGCACAUUGGUGAACUCAAACAUAAACACGUCCUCCCAUACUCUCAAAAUCCAUAGAUAACUGCCAUCAAACUGCAAAGAAAGCAGGCUUCGAGAGGAUCAUCAUUCACCUUUCCAUGAAGAUAGGGGAGGGGUCUCAGAGUCCUUCCAUAUGCUCAUUGA